UACGUAGGGGGCAAGCGUUGUCCGGAUUUAUUGGGCGUAAAGAGCGUGUAGGCGGCCAGGUAGGUCUGCUGUGAAAACUCGAGGCUUAACCUCGAGCUGUCGGCGGAAACCAUCUGGCUAGAGUCCGGAAGAGGAGAAUGGAAUUCCCGGUGUAGCAGUGAAAUGCGCAGAUAUCGGGAAGAACACCCGUGGCGAAGGCGGUUCUCUGGGACGGUACUGACGCUGAGACGCGAAAGCGUGGGGAGCGAACAGG
rnacentral:rRNA from 1 species